GCCCACCUUUCCGAAGUGCGCGGCCCAGUGCACGGGCGUCCAGCCGUAGAAGGAGUCCUCGGCGGCCAGAUGGCGUUUCCUGAGAGGCUCGGAGCUCCCCGUUGGCUGUAAAUGUCCACGUAAUGAAGUCCAAGGCACCGACAUCUCCCUUAACAGCGAGAAAAGCGAGCCGAUUCAACCCCCGAUGGGACUCAUUAGAUCUUAACCCCAGCCUCUGAAGAGUUCUAAAGCAUCCUUGACGUGGCUUCUGCAGAUGUUGGGUAGAUUUUGCUCCUUGCCACAGAGUCCUGCUCCCCGCUUUCUCCCCAUGUACACACAUGAUUUUAUUUGUACUGAAAUGUGAUUUUAUUUGUAUGUUAAUAAAUAAAGUUGCUUGG